GAUGAACGCUGGCGGCGUGCUUAACACAUGCAAGUCGAACGAUGAAGCCCAGCUUGCUGGGUGGAUUAGUGGCGAACGGGUGAGUAACACGUGAGCAACCUGCCCCUGACUCUGGGAUAAGCGCUGGAAACGGCGUCUAAUACUGGAUAUGUCCCGUCACCGCAUGGUGUGCGGGUGGAAAGAUUUUUCGGUUGGGGAUGGGCUCGCGGCCUAUCAGCUUGUUGGUGAGGUAAUGGCUCACCAAGGCGUCGACGGGUAGCCGGCCUGAGAGGGUGACCGGCCACACUGGGACUGAGACACGGCCCAGACUCCUACGGGAGGCAGCAGUGGGGAAUAUUGCACAAUGGGCGGAAGCCUGAUGAAGCAACGCCGCGUGAGGGAUGACGGCCUUCGGGUUGUAAACCUCUUUUAGCAGGGAAGAAGCGAAAGUGACGGUACCUGCAGAAAAAGCACCGGCUAACUACGUG
rnacentral:rRNA from 1 species